AGCCCCAGUCCACUCACCUACUUAGGGUCUGUCUGCUUUACUGGGUAAGGACAAACCUAUUACCGAAGGCUGAACAUUUUUUAUUUCUGGGAACGCUGGCGCCACGCUGAAUCCCACAAAUACCAUGGCAACCUACUGAGCCCUCUUCACACACUGCCAUCCUGGUGAGACAGCCUUGCUAAUGCUGGAGGCAAACAGCAAUUUAUUAACUGGGCCUCACCUAGGCUAGGAUUCUAAUGGGAGUAAUUGCCCUUAAUUGUAUCACAAAUGGAAGCCACAGCUUAAGAAGUGUUACAUCUUCAUUACCAACUUCCCACAGGGCUCACGCUCUUCUCCCACCCUCUGGGGCUCUCUGGGGCGUGCACACCCUAUAGCAAAUGAAGAAGAAGAAGAGGAAGAGGAAGAAGAAACUAAAUGAAUGAUUCUUAUGGGAAAAAGCGUUUGGAGAGGACUUUAGGAACAGAACUGCUUCCCUGCCGCCCUCCUCUCCGCGCGGCCUUCCUUGGGAAGAGAGAUACAGACAGCGCAAGACAGGGUGCUUGUUGUCCAAAAAAGUGUGAGUGACUAAGAAGGUUCUGAAGGAGACGCUGCCCCCGAUUCAGGGAGAGGGGACGAGGCAGCUGCAGGAGGCCGCCCUGCAAGGUGAUGCCACUUGGAAAGGAAAUUGGGGCUUCUCGGCAGAAUGGAGCUCAGAACAGGCCAAGGGGAAGUUAUUCCUCCCUCCCUCCUUUUCCAGGUGAGGAAGGCAUCACUACUUCCACUUUGGAGACAAAGACAAAAAGUUAGGGCAUGUGCCUCUGGCCCUUUAGACACGCAGUGACGAGUCUGGGAUUAUAACAAAGAUCUGACACCCAUGUCAAGAACCACAUAACAUAAACAUGUUCUCUGUCAAACUAAAGUGAUCAUGUCACCUGAGACCUCGUCCAAUGAAGCACGGGAAGUGAAUGCCGGGGGUCGCUCACAGGGCAGCCCUGAGCUCGCUGG